UACAGCUAGUUUGUGUCGUUUAGUGUUGACUCAGAAAAAUCAACGCUUUGUAAUAGGUCUUCCUUCAGCUGAGUUCUAACUCGAAACACAUUCGCAUAUUUUCUUUAUUCAGAUCAGUUGGACGAAAAGCGAUUUCCAAGAGGAGACUUAUGGCUGAGCUGGCAGUGGCACUUUUACCAUUUGCAGUCGAGAGGCUUUGGAACAUCCUUGUCCGAGAAACUGAGCGAUUUCAAGGAGUUGGAGAGCAGUUCGAUGGAUUGAAAAGUGAUGUUGAAACCUUAAGGUGCUUUUUGGAAGAUGCAGAGGCCAAGAAACAUACAAGUGCCAUGGUGAGAAAAACUAUCAAAGACGUCAAAGAAAUUGUCCUGGACGCAGAAGAUAUCAUCGAAACCUUUCUUCUUAAGAAAGAACUCGGAGAAUCAAGCAGCAGCAGGAACAGCGUGAGAAGAUUGGCUUACGCUACUGUGAAACGCGUGGGGCUUGCGUUUGAUAUGAAAACCAUACGUACGAGGAUCUCUAAGGUGAUCCGUGAUAUGCAGAAUCUUGGCGUACAGAAGGUCAUUGUCAAUGAAGAGUCUACGCAGUCUCUACAGAGAAAACAAAGAGAAAGGCGACAAACGUUUUCCAGCGUUAAUGAAAAGGAUCCUCUUGUGGGGUUUGAGAAAAAUGUUGAGAAAAUAGUUGGCUAUUUGGUGGAGGAUAAUAGCAGUCAAGUGGUUUCUAUAACUGGGAUGGGCGGGCUUGGUAAAACCACACUCGCAAGACAAGUUUUCAAUCACGAGACUAUAAAAACUCAUUUUCCAGGAUUGGCAUGGGUAUGUGUUUCACAGCAGUUUGAAAGGGACUAUGUCUGGCAGACGAUCUUGGAACAACUCAGGCCAGAAAUUAAGGUGUUUGGAAUGACUGACAAUGUACUUAAAGAAAAGCUUGUUGGUGUGUUGGAAACACAAAAGGCUUUGGUCGUCAUUGAUGACAUAUGGAGGGAAGAAGACUGGGACCUAAUCGAGCCUGCGUUUCUUCUGCCUGGAAAAGGAUGGAAGAUAUUACUUACUACUCGCAAUGAGGGCGUGGCAUUACAUGCAGAUAGACAUUGCGUUACAUUUAAACCAGAAUGCCUAAAUUUUGAAGACAGUUGGGAUCUUUUUCAAAUGAUAGCAUUUCCUAUGGAAGACACAGCUGAGUUCAAGGUUGAUGAAAAAAUGGAAGAGAUGGGAAAGCAGAUGAUAAAAUGCUGUGGAGGUCUACCCUUGGCAGUAAAAGUGUUAGGAGGGAUGUUAGCUGCACAAUACGCAUUGCAUGAGUGGGAAAGGAUAUAUGAGAAUAUUAAAGCUCUCAUUGUUAGAGGGACUGGCAAGGAUGAUAGCAAAACGGUUUAUGAUGUUUUGUAUCUGAGCUACGAAGAGCUGCCUGCUUAUUUGAAGCAUUGCUUCCUUUACCUUGCUCAUUUUCCAGAAGAUUAUCAAAUAGAUAUGGAGGAUUUGUCCUAUUACUGGGCUGCAGAAGGAAUGCCAAGGCCGAGGCAUUGCAAGGGAGCAAGCAUUCGAGAUGUGGGAGAUGGAUACAUAGAAGAAUUGGUGAAAAGAAACAUGGUUAUAUCUGAAAGAGACGUGGAUACUUCAAGAUUUGAAACAUGUCAGUUGCAUGACAUGAUGAGAGAAGUUUGUCUGCAUAAAGCCGAAGAAGAUAAUUUCGUACAAAUUAUUCAAGGCACAUCAACUGCAAACCAUGAAUCUCCUGGUAAAUUUCGUAGACUCGCUGUACAUCGGCCUGAUGAAUCAUUUAAUGUGGAGACGUCAGAGGUGACGAAUGCAAGCCUUAGAACUCUCUUGUUUAUCGAUGGUGAAGAAUGGAAGGCAACAAGUUUGUUCUUUAAAAGGCAUAAGCUGAUGAGAGUGUUAGAUCUCUCUCGGGUCAAGUUUGAAGGAGGGGAGGUACCAUCUAGCAUCGGGAAGCUCAUCCACUUGAGAUAUUUGAGUUUAAAAGAUGCAAAUGUAACUCACCUACCUUCUUCUAUGCGGAAUCUGAAGCAGCUCCUCUAUUUAAACAUAGAUGUAUCUGGGUCUGAUGAAGUCUACAUUCCCAGUAUCUUUAAAGAGAUGCAAGAAUUGAUAUACUUGUAUUUGCCAGAAAGAUUACAUGCUAAGGUAAAGUUGGAAUUGGGAAAUCUAGUCAAGCUGGAGACGUUGAAGAAUUUCUCAACGGAGCAUGGGAGUGUGAGUGAUCUCCAAGGUAUGACAAAGCUCAGGACCCUUUCCAUGUAUAUCGAAGGUCAAGGGUGUUCCAUGAAAACCCUAUCUUCAUCUCUAAGUAAAAUUACACACCUGGAGAAUCUUACCAUAAAUAACCGUAAAUAUCAUGCUCUGGCUAAUGAUGAAGAAGAAGGAUUUGUUUUGGAUAGCGUUCAUCUCAGACAGCUGAAGUUGGAGACAUAUAUGCCAAGGUUACCUGAUCCCCAACACUUUCCUUCUCACCUUACGAAGAUACACCUAACGCAGUGUCGUUUGGAGAAAGAUCCGAUGCCGAUUCUAGAGAAGCUGGAGCACUUAAAAGAGGUUAAUUUAGAGCAUCGAUCUUUCAGUGGAAAGAGAAUGGUUUGCUCAAGGGGUGGGUUUCCUCAAUUGAAGGAGCUAAUUUUUUAUGGAUUAAAAGAGUGGGAAGAGUGGAUAGUAGAAGAAGGCUCCAUGCCUCUUCUCCGUACUCUCUAUAUUGGUAAUUGUGGAAAACUAAAAGAGAUUCCUCAUGGACUGCGAUUCAUCACUUCCUUGGAGAAUCUCAGUGUUAGCUUAAGGGGAGAGGAAUGCAAGAUGAUAUUGUCCGAACAAUACUUGCAUUCUCGCCUUACAAGCAUAACUCUAAGUGAUUGUCGUUUUGAGGAGGAUCCUAUGCCUAUUUUAGAGAAAUUGCUUUACCUGAAACGGAUUGAUUUAAGCAACAUAUCUUUCGGUGGGAAUAGAAUGGUUUGCUCGAGGGGUGGGUUUCCUCAAUUGGAAGCGAUCUGGUUUUAUGAAUUAAAAGAGUUUGAAGAGUGGAUAGUAGAAGAAGGCUCCAUGCCCCUUCUCCGUACUCUCGUUAUAAGAGAUUGCAAGAAAUGGAAGGAGCUUCCUGAUGGGCUGCGAUUCAUCACUUCCUUGGAUUAUCUGAGAGUUAGUUCUAUGGGAGAGGAGUGGAAGAAGAGAUUGUCGGAAGGAGGAGAAGAUUAUUACAAAGUCCAACACAUCCCUUCUGUUGAAUUCGAGUUCGACUAAAUUAUUAUUUUCGGCAAAACUGGAGUCAGUCAGCAGCUGAAGGAGACUCUCAGAAAUUACGGACUCUCAGAAACUCCUCGGCACUUUCCGUUGAUUUCAUUGGAAUGUGUUUGAAAAUAUUGUCAAACCCGGAACGAUUUAAGACUCAAGUUCUUGGGGAAUCGUUUGCUCCAAGUGUGGAUUUCCUCUGUUUGCAUAAACUACACUUAGUUAGACUGUUUCAUUGGAAUGUGAUACCGGCACUUGGGCUUUGUUUGAUCCCUGAUUGUAUGAGGUUUGGAUGAUUCCGUGAAGGUGUUCCACGAAAUGUCUAAGUGAGACUUGAUCUCUUCCACGUCUUUAAGUUUGUCGAGAGAGAGAGAGUUCAUAUCUGUGUAACUAUUGUGGAUUGGGAUUCUUGAAUUUGUGUUCUCUUUGCAUUUUUUUUACUUAUCAAGCGACUAGGCUUUGAUAUUCUCCGUAUAGAAUUGCCUUGACUUGGGGAAAUGAGCACCUUGCAGCCUUAUUUGUUAGUAACAGAUCAAUAUAUGUUUACUCCAUUUCUUUGUUUGUUUUAGAUU